rnacentral:rRNA from 1 species
CAGUAGCCGCGGGAAUACAGAGGGUGCGAGCGUUAAUCGGAUUUACUGGGCGUAAAGCGUGCGUAGGCGGCUUCUUAAGUCGGAUGUGAAAUCCCUGAGCUUAACUUAGGAAUUGCAUUCGAUACUGGGAAGCUAGAGUAUGGGAGAGGAUGGUAGAAUUCCAGGUGUAGCGGUGAAAUGCGUAGAGAUCUGGAAGAAUACCGAUGGCGAAGGCAGCCAUCUGGCCUAAUACUGACGCUGAGGUACGAAAGCAUGGGGAGCAAACAGGAUUAGAUACCCCUGUAGUCCCUGUCUCUUAUAC